rnacentral:misc_RNA from 1 species
GAUUUUACAAGGGAAUCAACCCAGCAAGCUGUAGCAGAAUGGGCAUCAUCACCAGAAGUUGCUAAUUGGAUCAUUGAGAAUGCUGACCGAAUUCAACUCCUGCCAAGUGAUUGCAGUUCUGAAGAGACAGUGGAAAGUGAAUCAGACUCCACAAAUGAGACUGUUGGUGGGAGUGGCAAGCAAUUUAACUUGUUUAAUUGGUAGCAACCGGAGUUGAAAGACAGUAGCAAUCAGAGAUCUAAUUCAUUCGGAAUAUGGUGGGGAGUAGCAAAGAUUUUGGAACAUUACCCUCGUUUGUUACACCAUCAAGCAACGGCAGUGAGUCUUGCAGCAGUUUUUCCCGUCUCCUGUUUAGCUUGUUUCCAUAAUUAGCUGAUGUAAUUUCUCUCUCCUCCUGAAUAUUGACCGUACUGGAAGGUACCAACACUUCUCCACACAAACUUGGAAAGGGUUUGUAGAUUAUUGUUUUGAAGAAUGUAUAUUAAAAAGGAAAAAAUGCAGUCUCUAAUCCAUUGAAUUCCCGUUUUAUUUCAACGGAAGCUUGGUACAAC